GCUCCUUCUGCCCUGCGUGGACAGUUACUAACCUGAGCCCCGCAGGGUGCGCUCUCCAAACCGCUGCGCGCUGCCAGGAGCGCCCCAGCCAGCAUGGGCAUGAGGAUAAAAUGCACCGUCCGAUGUAAGCGCCCGAGAAACCUCCCACGCGUCAGGGCUGUUUUGCUCAAGAUCAUCCAAGGCUUACUCAAGGCUUAUCCAAGAUCCAGGCCCCUUCGCCUUUCCCUCGUGGUGGUUUUGAGGAAGCGCUGCAGCAGGCGGGCUGAGCCUGGGCACCCCGCUGACAACAGGUUAAGUGGCAUGCACAAAUACGCUGCUCUGUUAAUUUCACCGGGGUGGAAUGGACAUACAUAUUCAGGUAAGUCUAGCAGUUUAUUAUCUGCUUCUAUAUUUGCGAGUUAGCGGGCUCGGAUUGUGCAAUCAUGCUGGGUUAUCUAAAAUAAAACCGCGUAGACUUCUUCU